rnacentral:tRNA from 2 species
AUUUAAUUAGUUUAAAAUAAAACAUAGAAUUGUGGAAUCUAAAAAACCUAAAGUAUUAAAUC